UUUUGACUCUACAACCACAGAGCAAGACCAUGACAUUGGAGGCUUUGGAUCAGUGUCCUUUGUGUCGUCCACAGUAAAUGAGAGUGUACCUCCCUCUGAAGGGAAUUAUGCUGAUAAAGAACAUGGAUCCAGAAGAGUGGCAAAGAAAGUGUGGUCUAAGGCUGAGGUCGCUGCAGUAAUGCGACACUUCAAAGAUCAUAUAAG